rnacentral:rRNA from 1 species
UGGGGAAUAUUGGGCAAUGGAGGCAACUCUGACCCAGCAACGCCGCGUGAAUGAUGAAGGUCUUCGGAUUGUAAAGUUCUUUAGUUGGGGACGAAGAAAUGACGGUACCCAAAGAAUAAGCCACGGCAAACUACGUGCCAGCAGCCGCGGUAAUACGUAGGUGGCAAGCGUUGUCCGGAAUGACUGGGCGUAAAGGGUGCGUAGGCGGCUUUUCAAGUUAGAAGUUUAAUCCCACAGCUUAACUGUGGAACUGCUUUUAAGACUGAAAGGCUUGAGUGAUGGAGAGGUAAGUGGAAUUCCUAGUGUAGCGGUGGAAUGCGUAGAUAUUAGGAGGAACACCAGAGGCGAAGGCGACUUACUGGACAUUAACUGACGCUGAAGCACGAAAGUGUGGGGAUCAAACA